UACGGAAGGCAGCAGUGGGGAAUAUUGCACAAUGGGCGCAAGCCUGAUGCAGCCAUGCCGCGUGUAUGAAGAAGGCCUUCGGGUUGUAAAGUACUUUCAGUCGUGAGGAAGGUGUUAAGGUUAAUAACCUUAGCAAUUGACGUUAGCGACAGAAGAAGCACCGGCUAACUCCGUGCCAGCAGCCGCGGUAAUACGGAGGGUGCGAGCGUUAAUCGGAAUUACUGGGCGUAAAGGGCACGCAGGCGGUUAAUUAAGUUGGAUGUGAAAUCCCCGGGCUUAACCUGGGAAUGGCAUUCAAGACUGGUUAGCUAGAGUCUUGGUAGAGGGGGUAGAAUUCCAUGUGUAGCGGUGAAAUGCGUAGAGAUGUGGAGGAAUACCGGUGGCGAAGGCGGCCCCUGGGACAAAGACUGACGCUCAUGUGCGAAAGGCGUGGGGAGCGAAACAGGGAUUAGAUACC
rnacentral:rRNA from 1 species